rnacentral:rRNA from 1 species
ACUUGAAUUGAAGAGUUUGAUCAUGGCUCAGAUUGAACGCUGGCGGCAGGCUUAACACAUGCAAGUCGAACGGUAGCAGGAGAAAGCUUGCUUUCUUGCUGACGAGUGGCGGACGGGUGAGUAAUGCUUGGGAAUCUGGCUUAUGGAGGGGGAUAACGACGGGAAACUGUCGCUAAUACCGCGUAUUAUCGGAAGAUGAAAGUGCGGGACUGAGAGGCCGCAUGCCAUAGGAUGAGCCCAAGUGGGAUUAGGUAGUUGGUGGGGUAAAUGCCUACCAAGCCUGCGAUCUCUAGCUGGUCUGAGAGGAUGACCAGCCACACUGGAACUGAGACACGGUCCAGACUCCUACGGGAGGCAGCCAGUGGGGAAUAUUGCGCAAUGGGGGGAACCCUGACGCAGCCAUGCCGCGUGAAUGAAGAAGGCCUUCCGGGUGUAAAGUUCUUUCGGUAUUGAGGAAGGGUGAUGUGUAAAUAGAACCUCAAAUUGACGUUAAAUACAAAAAAACACCGGCUAACCUCCCUGCCGCAGCCCCCGGUAAUCACGAAGGGUGCAAGCGGUAAUCGGAAUUACUGGGCGUAAAAGGCACCCAGGGGGUUAUUUAAGUAAGGGGGAAAAACCCUGGGCUUAACCCAGGAAUUGAUUUUCAACAUGGGGAAAUAGAAACCUUUAGGGAGGGGGAAAAAAUCCCACCGUUCC